rnacentral:rRNA from 1 species
CUACGGGGGGCUGCAGUGAGGAAUAUUGGUCAAUGGGCGAAAGCCUGAACCAGCCAUGCCGCGUGAAGGAUGACGGCCCUAUGGGUUGUAAACUUCUUUUAUACGGGAAGAAACACCUCUACGUGUAGAGGUUUGACGGUACCGUACGAAUAAGCAUCGGCUAACUCCGUGCCAGCAGCCGCGGUAAUACGGAGGAUGCAAGCGUUAUCCGGAUUUAUUGGGUUUAAAGGGUACGGAGGCGGAAACUUAAGUCAGUAGUGAAAUCCCGCAGCUUAACUGUGGAACUGUUAUUGAUACUGGGUUUCUUGAAUAUUGUUGAGGUAGGCGGAAUAAGUAAUGUAGCGGUGAAAUGCUUAGAUAUUACUAAGAACACCGAUUGCGAAGGCAGCUUACUAAGCAAUUAUUGACGCUGAGGUACGAAAGCGUGGGGAGCGAACAGGAUUAGAUACCCGGGUAGUC